rnacentral:rRNA from 1 species
UACGAAGGGGGCUAGCGUUGCUCGGAAUCACUGGGCGUAAAGCGCACGUAGGCGGAUCUUUAAGUCAGGGGUGAAAUCCCAAGGCUCAACCUUGGAACUGCCUUUGAUACUGGGGAUCUCGAGUCCGGAAGAGGUUGGUGGAACUCCGAGUGUAGAGGUGAAAUUCGUAGAUAUUCGCAAGAACACCAGUGGCGAAGGCGGCUCACUGGCCCGAUACUGACGCUGAGGCACGAAAGCGUGGGGAGCAAACAGG